rnacentral:rRNA from 1 species
UGAGUACGAGAUGCUACGGCAUCGAAGCAGUCUAUGUCAUACUUCCAAGAAAAGCUUGCAAUGUCAUAAACAAAUAAUGCCUGUACCAUAACCGACACAGGUGGGUAGGUAGAGUAUACUAAGGGGCGCGAGAUAACUCUCUCUAAGGAACUCGGCAAAAUGACUCCGUAACUUCGGGAGAAGGAGUGCCUUAUUUUUAUAAGGUUGCAAUAACAAGAUCCAAGCAACUGUUUACCAAAAACACAGGUCUCCGCUAAGUCGUAAGACGAUGUAUGGGGGCUGACGCCUGCCCAGUGCCAGAAGGUUAAAGAAGUUGGUUAGCAUUAGCGAAGCUGAUAACUGAAGCCCUGGUGAACGGCGGCCGUAACUAUAACGGUCCUAAGGUAGCGAAAUUCCUUGUCAGGUAAGUUCCGACCCGCACGAAAGGCGUAAUGAUUUGGAUACUGUCUCGGAGAGGGGCUCGGUGAAAUAGACUUGUCUGUGAAGAUGCGGACUACCUGCACCUGGACAGAAAGACCCUAUGAAGCUUUACUGUAACUUGAGAUUGAAAUUGGACUUUAUCUGCUCAGUAUAGGUGGGAGACGUUGAAAAUAUUCUUGCGGGAAUAUUGGAGUCAUCAGUGAGAUACCACUCUUAUAAUGUUAGAUUUCUAACUUUGUAUCAUUAUCUGGUCAAAGAACAGUUUCAGGCGGGCAGUUUGACUGGGGCGGUCGCCUCCCAAACGGUAACGGAGGCGCACAAAGGCUUCCUCUGAACGUGUAGAAAUCGUAUCUAGAGUGUAAAGGCAUAAGGAAGCUUGACUGUGAGACCUACAAGUCGAGCAGUGACGAAAGUCGGUCUUAGUGAUCUGACGGUGCUGAGUGGAAAGGCCGUCACUCAACGGAUAAAAGUUACUCUAGGAUAACAGGCUGAUCUCCCCCAAGAGUUCACAUCGACGGGGAGGUUUGGCACCUCGAUGUCGGCUCAUCGCAUCCUGGGGCGGUAGUACGUCCCAAGGGUUGGGCUGUUCGCCCAUGAAAGCGGUACGCGAGCUGGGUUCAGAACGUCGUGAGACAGUUCGGUCCAUAUCCGGUGUAGGCGUUAGAAUAUUGAGAGGAGCCUUCUUUAGUACGAGAGGACCGAGAAGGACAUACCUCUGGUGUACCAGUUAUCAUGCCAACGGUAAACGCUGGGUAGCCAUGUAUGGAGAGGAUAACCGCUGAAAGCAUCUAAGUGGGAAGCCCACCUCAAGAUAAG